GACGUAGGGCGCGAGCGUUGUCCGGAUUUAUUGGGCGUAAAGAGCUCGUAGGCGGCUCGUUGCGUCGGCUGUGAAAACCCGCAGCUCAACUGUGGGCUUGCAGCCGAUACGGGCGGGCUGGAGUUCGGUAGGGGAGACUGGAAUUCCUGGUGUAGCGGUGAAAUGCGCAGAUAUCAGGAGGAACACCGGUGGCGAAGGCGGGUCUCUGGGCCGAUACUGACGCUGAGGAGCGAAAGCGUGGGGAGCGAACAGG
rnacentral:rRNA from 2 species